rnacentral:rRNA from 1 species
GAAUUUUGGACAAUGGGCGAAAGCCUGAUCCAGCAAUGCCGCGUGCAGGAUGAAGGCCUUCGGGUUGUAAACCCCUCUCGACAGGGACGAAGCGGUAUAGUGACGGUACCUGUAGAAGAAGCACCGGCUAACUACGUGCCAGCAGCCGCGGUAAUACGUAGGGUGCGAGCGUUGUCCGGAAUUACUGGGCGUAAAGAGCUCGUAGGUGGUUUGUCGCGUCGUCUGUGAAAUCCCGGGGCUUAACCUCGGGCGUGCAGGCGAUACGGGCAUAACUUGAGUGCUGUAGGGGAGACUGGAAUUCCUGGUGUAGCGGUGAAAUGCGCAGAUAUCAGGAGGAACACCAAUGGCGAAGGCAGGUCUCUGGGCAGUAACUGACGCUGAGGAGCGAAAGCAUGGGUAGCGAAC